AUCAGGCAGGAUUACCCGCUGAACUUAAGCAUAUCAAUAAGCGGAGGAAAAGAAACUAACAAGGAUUCCCCUAGUAACGGCGAGUGAAGCGGGAAGAGCUCAAAUUUGGAAUCUGGCGCCUCCGGCGUCCGAGUUGUAAGCUAGAGAGGCGGUUUUCGGCGGGCGCCUGGGUAUAAGUCCUCUGGAACAGGGCAUCAUAGAGGGUGAGAAUCCCGUCUUUGACCCGGAGCAGCCUGCUAUGUGAUACGCCUUCGAAGAGUCGGUUUGUUUGGGAAUGCAGACCAAAAUGGGUGGUAAAUUCCAUCUAAAGCUAAAUACAGGCGAGGGACCGAUAGCGAACAAGUACCGUGAGGGAAAGAUGAAAAGAACUUUGAAAAGAGAGUUAAACAGUACGUGAAAUUGUUGAAAGGGAAACGAUUGAAGCCAGUCGUACCGGCGGAUAAUCAGCCUUUCGAGUGCGAUUCUGUGGAGCGUGAGGAGCUUAAUCGCCUUCACGUCUUGCAUAUUCGUGCACUUUUGGUGUACUUGUCCGUGUGGUGAGUUAACAUCAAUUCCGGUCGGCAUAAAAUGAUUGGAGGAAUGUAGCUUCGAUCUCGUAUCGAAGUGUUAUAGACUCUGGUAGAUGUGACGAUUGGGAUUGAGGAUUGCAACGGAUACCCUUCGGGCUACCCGCCUGAUCUCUGAAGGUUGCUCCGGUGCCGAAAGCGUGCUUAUGGUCAUCGAAAGUGAUCGUCAAAAGGUUAGAACGGGUUAAAUUCGUUAAGGAUGUUGACGUAAUGGCUUUAAACGACCCGUCUUGAAACACGGACCAAGGAGUCUAACAUAUAUGCGAGUGUU
rnacentral:rRNA from 1 species